rnacentral:rRNA from 1 species
ACGAACGCUGGCGGCGUGCUUCACACAUGCAAGUCGAACGGAAAGGCCCUGCUUGCAGGGUCCUCGAGUGGCGAACGGGUGAGUAACACGUGGGUGAUCUGCCCUGCACUUCGGGAUAAGCCUGGGAAACUGGGUCUAAUACCGGAUAGGAGCCAUUUUUAGUGUGAUGGUUGGAAAGUUUUUUCGGUGUAGGAUGAGCUCGCGGCCUAUCAGCUUGUUGGUGGGGUAAUGGCCUACCAAGGCGGCGACGGGUAGCCGGCCUGAGAGGGUGGACGGCCACAUUGGGACUGAGAUACGGCCCAGACUCCUACGGGAGGCAGCAGUGGGGAAUAUUGCACAAUGGGCGCAAGCCUGAUGCAGCGACGCCGCGUGGGGGAUGACGGCCUUCGGGUUGUAAACUCCUUUCGCUAGGGACGAAGCUUUUUGUGACGGUACCUAGAUAAGAAGCACCGGCUAACUACGUG